rnacentral:rRNA from 1 species
CAACGUAAAGAACCUGCCUUAUAGACUGGGACAACUAUUGGAAACGAUAGCUAAUACCGGAUAACAGCAUUAACUGCAUGGUUGAUGUUUGAAAGUUGGUUUUGCUAACACUAUGAGAUGGCUUUGCGGUGCAUUAGCUAGUUGGUGGGGUAAAGGCCUACCAAGGCGACGAUGCAUAGCCGACCUGAGAGGGUGAUCGGCCACACUGGGACUGAGACACGGCCCAG